rnacentral:rRNA from 1 species
UACGUAGGGAGCAAGCGUUGUCCGGAAUCAUUGGGCGUAAAGCGCGCGUAGGUGGCUUCAUAAGUCCGUUGUGAAAGUCAAAGGCUCAACCUUUGAAAGCCGAUGGAUACUGUGAAGCUAGAGUACGGAAGAGGCGAGUGGAAUUCCUGGUGUAGCGGUGGAAUGCGCAGAUAUCAGGAGGAACACCGGUGGCGAAGGCGGUUCUCUGGGCCUUACCUGACGCUGAGGAGCGAAAGCGUGGGGAGCAAACAGG